ensembl:lncRNA
CAAAACCUGAGGCGCAGCCAACCACAGACUACUAACCCUAUCCAUGGUGCUGACAGAGUCCCACUGUAUGGUCCAGGCUGGCCUCAAACUCUCAGCAAUCAUCCAGCCUCAGCUUCCUGAGUGCUGAGAUUACAAGCAUGUACCACCACGCCCAGCACAUUCACGUUUUACUGAAUUUAAGGAGUUAUUCAACAGGAAUUCUGACUACUCUUGAUGGAAGGAGCUCAGCUGCCAGUACUUUUCAGGAAAGCAAGUCUAUUACCAUCCCGCAUAUCUUCACUACCCCUGUUCCUGCCUCUGAGCCUGCCAUGGAGUUUGCCCUGGAGUUGUCUUCCUGCUGCCUGAUGGUUCCUACGUCUUCCCUAAGACACCAGGCUAGUCAGACAGAAUGGACCUAUGAGGGAAAAUCUUCAAUAUCAAAACUGAAAACAGAUCAAGGAAUCUCAAUACUAUCCACUAUGAAGUCUGAUUUGGAAGUUGCCUCUGAAAUGGAGCAAGAUGAAGAUGAAGAUGGAGAUGAUGGUGAGAAAACAACAUAAUCUAUUCAAAGAUUCCUGCUUUCAGCAGAGUAUUCCUGAGCUGGGAAAUUUCCCUCGAGUGGUUGCCUCCCUUCUGGUCUAGCUUGUACCAAGUUCCAGAGUUGACCUGGGGACAUAUUGGGC